GACGGAGGGGGCAAGCGUUGUUCGGAAUUACUGGGCGUAAAGCGUGCGCAGGCGGUUCGCUAAGACAGAUGUGAAAUCCCCGGGCUUAACCUGGGAACUGCAUUUAUGACUGGCGGGCUAGAGUAUGGCAGAGGGGGGUAGAAUUCCACGUGUAGCAGUGAAAUGCGUAGAGAUGUGGAGGAAUACCGAUGGCGAAGGCAGCCCCCUGGGCCAAUACUGACGCUCAUGCACGAAAGCGUGGGGAGCAAACAGG
rnacentral:rRNA from 1 species